UACAGAGGGUGCGAGCGUUAAUCGGAAUUACUGGGCGUAAAGCGCACGUAGUCGGCUUUGCAAGUCGGUUGUGAAAUCCCCGGGCUCAACCUGGGAACUGCAUUUGUGACUGCAUAGCUGGAGUGCGGCAGAGGGGGAUGGAAUUCCGCGUGUAGCAGUGAAAUGCGUAGAUAUGCGGAGGAACACCGAUGGCGAAGGCAAUCCCCUGGGCCUGCACUGACGCUCAUGCACGAAAGCGUGGGGAGCAAACAGG
rnacentral:rRNA from 1 species